rnacentral:rRNA from 1 species
UUUAAGCUGGUGGUAAAUUUAAGGCUAAAUAUUAUCAGGCUUCAUUUAAGGCUAAAUAUGACCACGAGACCGAUAGCGAACAAGUACCGUGAGGAAAAGUUUAAAAGAACUUUGAAGAGAGAGUUCAAAAGUGCGUGAAACCGUUCAGGGGUUAACCUGAGAAACCCAAAAUAUCGAAUAGGGAGAUUCACCGUCAGCCGCCUUGGCUUCCGUGCGGCGCGCGAUGACGAGGGACCUCGGUCUUGCGUCACGCCGUCGCUGUGGCAUAUCCGAGGUGGUCGUCGUACACUUCUCCCCUAGUAGGACGUUACGACCCGUUGGUCGUCGGCCCACAGCCCGGUUAGGCGUCUAUCGAGUCGCGUUAACGCGCGCACUCGUCAGACCACCAGUCGCCCUGCCAGCUGCCCGGCGGUAUAGAACGAUAAAUAAAAUCUGGUAUCGAGCCGCACAAAGUGCGUUCCUGGGUCGUUGGCAGGCUUGCCUUGCUUGGAUUUACGGACCAACUGCUGUUGCCGGGUACUUGGCGCGGCCGUUAGUCGACGAUGUCCGUCGGUGACGCUACUGCUUUGGGUACAUUCAGGA